rnacentral:misc_RNA from 1 species
CGCACCUUGCGCUCCUUGGUAUUCCGAGGAGCAUGCCUGUUUGAGUGUCUUGAAGUCAUCAACCCCUCCAGUUUUUCGAAGCGGGAGAAGGUUGGACGUGGGGGUCUGCGGCCGCAAGGCUGCUCCCCUUAAAUUCAUCGGUUGGACCUGUGGGUCGGACUUGUUGGGCGUUGUAUCAUCCUCGCUCUGACAGAUGUUCCCCUGUUUGUUGUCCUCCCUCGACUCGCCUGUAGAGUGGCAGUCAACACUUUGAAAUCUGACCUCAAAUCAGGUAGGACUACCCGCUGAACUUAA